rnacentral:lncRNA from 1 species
UGAAUUUUUUCUCCCCAGAUACAUCAAAAGAUUCUGUGUGGUGAGCUAAAUUGAAGUCAGCACUUAUUCUGGAAAUGAUCCAAGGGAUUAAACAAGUGAAGCAAAUUCAUUUAUUACACAUAUUUGACCUUCUCAUGGGUGAUUCAGCUGUGUCUAAAUAAGUUUUCAUAUAUUAGAAAUAUCCACUGUAACACACAUAAACCAAGACCAGGAUUUGCAAUAGGUGCAUUUCUUUGGUAUGUCUGAUUAUUUUCUUGAGACUUAAAAAUACUUGCUUGAAAUAAAUAGGUAAAAUUUAUCUAAUAUACAAUGACUAUAUCAGUUAAUUUAUCUUUUAUUUAAUUAACUUAUUUAAGAGGAACGUAAAAUCAAUUUAGUCCAGGCCUGUGACAUAAGCUUACAAUAAAUAGUUUCUAUUGGUUGGGAAAAUACUAAGGUUAUGCAUAUGUUGAAAAUUUUGAUAGAAAAGACAGAGAAACAAUUGAGUUUCUGCUAAUAGCAGCAAACUAAACUGGAACUAGAAAAUUUAUGGCAGUUUAUUUCCAACAGUGACAUACUUUGGGAAAAACAAUUUAUUUUCUUUCUUUUUUAAAUUCUGCUCAAAUUUCUUAAGUGUAUGGUAUAUGCUUUAAAAUAACAUCCCUUUAAACAACAGUAAGUAAUAAAAAUAAUCAUUAAGAAUUUUAAAAAUGAGAUCUGUGAAGAAAUACCUGUUCACAAUGAAAUACAAAUGUAUUUAAUGGUAUUUUAAAGUUAUUCUGUAUUGCUAUGGUGAAUUUUAUUAUUUUUAAAAUUUUGUUUCCCUGGCCCCCUAGCAUUUCAUUGACAUAGGUAAGAAUAAAAACCUUUGGUAACUUUUUAAAAUUUUUGUACGAAACACUUAAUUUCCAUGCUUUCUAGAGUAGAAUGGGAAAAUAAUGCGACUUUCCUGUUUAGUUUAAGAAAUGCGCUAAUGUAGAAAACUUUGUAUCCAUUCGGUAAACCUUGAGACCCUGGCAUACACUCCGGGGCGAUUAGGCAGGGCACACUUGUAUCCAAAUGAGGUCACACCAGCAAGGAACCACCUGUUGUUUUCUUGGCACAUUAAUGGUCCUCCUGAAUCCCCCU